rnacentral:rRNA from 1 species
AUUGAACGCUGGCGGCAGGCUUAACACAUGCAAGUCGAGCGGAGCGAGGGUGCUUGCACCUUAGCUUAGCGGCGGACGGGUGAGUAAUGCUUAGGAAUCUGCCUAUUAGUGGGGGACAACAUUCCGAAAGGAAUGCUAAUACCGCAUACGCCCUACGGGGGAAAGCAGGGGAUCUUCGGACCUUGCGCUAAUAGAUGAGCCUAAGUCGGAUUAGCUAGUUGGUGGGGUAAAGGCCUACCAAGGCGACGAUCUGUAGCGGGUCUGAGAGGAUGAUCCGCCACACUGGGACUGAGACACGGCCCAGACUCCUACGGGAGGCAGCAGUGGGGAAUAUUGGACAAUGGGCGGAAGCCUGAUCCAGCCAUGCCGCGUGUGUGAAGAAGGCCUUAUGGUUGUAAAGCACUUUAAGCGAGGAGGAGGCUCUUUUGGUUAAUACCCAAGAUGAGUGGACGUUACUCGCAGAAUAAGCACCGGCUAACUCUGUGCCAGCCGCCGCGGUAAAAC